UUGAGGCUUCUUUUCCUUUAUAUACAUCUCUCUCUUUUCUCCUCAAAAUUGAUGCAUUUCUUCCUCCAAAUUAGUCUUGAAGAAGCUUGAUCGAAGACUUGUUCGCAUUUUCAUUAUUUUCGUCAGUUUAUUUUUCUGAAAUUUUUGAACAAAUCGCAGUUGUAGUCGCAAGGCUAUCCAAGAGAGCCUCUCUCUCUCUCUCACCCUAAGCCGGAAACUGAAUACCAAGAAAUUGUUCAAAAUUCCCAAUUUUUCUGGAACAAGCUUUAGCAAUUCUCCGCUUCACUGCCUACCAAUUUCAAAUAGAUAGCUACUUUUGGGAGGAGGCAAAUCACAACUCACAAAAAUCCUUAUUUUAGGAUUUACUAUCUUAAAUGUUAGAAUCAAUGCUUCACAAGAUUUGGGUUUCCUGCUUCGAAGAUUCUAGCAGGGAAAUCUCUAGGACAACUGAUGAUCGUGCCCGAGUCUGAGGCCAACUACCAUUCAAGAUUUGAAUUAUCUUAUUGCUAAUGCAAGUUGACCAACUAACCAGGAUAUAGAAAAAAAUGCAUAGCUUUACUGGGCUGAAGAAGAAGGAAUAAGCUCAGUAAAAUUUCCAACAUUUCUGAAUGAGACUUUGACUGCACAAUGUCACUUAACUUUCAUGUUGUCUGUUGGAGAAGAGACAAUUAUUAUUCAAGAAUAAAUGUCUAUGUCAUGAUUGAGAAAGAACUAAUAGCACAUAAAUGGUUAUGAGAUGAGGAUGGAAGCAAAAGUUAAUAGUAUGAUACAUGCUAUGUGAUCUUUUAUGAUUUUGUAAUUUAUGUUGAUUGUUUGUCCUAGCUUGCUUUUGCAAGAGUUUCUUAAUGGUUUAUUACUAGAUCAAAAGCUGAUUUAUGCGGGUAGAAGGUGAAUUUGACUCCGCGGUGCUGCUUUCAUUUGAUGUUUUUUUUUCUUUUGUGUAAAGAGCUGAAACAAUGUAGUGUUUCUAUGGAACUUGAUUGUCUAAGUUCAGUUUUAUAAGUCAUUAUAUAUUGGUGUAGUUUUGUUUUGGAU